AUUGAACGCUGGCGGCAGGCCUAACACAUGCAAGUCGAGCGAGCGGCGGACGGGUGAGUAAUGUAUGGGGACUGCCCGAUAGCGGGGGAUAACUACUGGAAACGGUAACUAAUACCGCAUACUAUCGGAUAACCCAUAUGGGAUUAGCUAGUAGGUGUGGUAAUGUCUCACCUAGUCGACGAUCCCUAGCUGGUCUGAGAGGAUGAUCAGCCACACUGGGACUGAGACACGGCCCAGACUCCUACGGGGGCAGCAGUGGGGAAUAUUGCACAAUGGGCGCAAGCCUGAUGCAGCCAUGCCGCGUGUAUGAAGAAGGCCUUCGGGUUGUAAAGUACUUUCAGUAGGGAGGCGUUACCGACAGAAGAAGCACCGACUAACUCCGUGCCAGCAGCCGCGGUAAUUC
rnacentral:rRNA from 1 species